AGCGUUAAUCGGAAUUACUGGGCGUAAAGCGCACGCAGGCGGUUGGAUAAGUUAGAUGUGAAAGCCCCGGGCUCAACCUGGGAAUUGCAUUUAAAACUGUCCAGCUAGAGUCUUGUAGAGGGGGGUAGAAUUCCAGGUGUAGCGGUGAAAUGCGUAGAGAUCUGGAGGAAUACCGGUGGCGAAGGCGGCCCCCUGGACAAAGACUGACGCUCAGGUGCGAAAGCGUGGGGAGCAAACAGGAUUAGAUACCCUGGUAGUCCACGCCGUAAACGAUGUCGAUUUGGAGGCUGUGUCCUUGAGACGUGGCUUCCGGAGCUAACGCGUUAAAUCGACCGCCUGGGGAGUACGGCCGCAAGGUUAAAACUCAAAUGAAUUGACGGGGGCCCGCACAAGCGGUGGAGC
rnacentral:rRNA from 1 species